GAUGAACGCUGGCGGCGUGCCUAAUACAUGCAAGUCGAGCGAACAGACGAGGAGCUUGCUCCUCUGACGUUAGCGGAGGACGGGUGAGUAACACGUGGAUAACCUACCUAUAAGACUGGGAUAACUUCGGGAAACCGGAGCUAAUACCGGAUAAUAUAUUGAACCGCAUGGUUCAAUAGUGAAAGACGGUUUUGCUGUCACUUAUAGAUGGAUCCGCGCCGCAUUAGCUAGUUGGUAAGGUAACGGCUUACCAAGGCAACGAUGCGUAGCCGACCUGAGAGGGUGGUCGGCCACACUGGAACUGAGACACGGUCCAGACUCCUACGGGAGGCAGCAGUAGGGAAUCUUCCGCAAUGGGCGAAAGCUUGACGGAGCAACGGCGCGUGAGUGAUGAAGGUCUUCGGAGCGUAAAACUCUGUUAUUAGGGAAGAACAAAUGUGUAAGUAACUAUGCACGUCUUGACGGUACCUAAUCAGAAAGCCACGGCUAACUACGUG
rnacentral:rRNA from 1 species